CGGCAGGCCUAACACAUGCAAGUCGAGCGGUAGAGAGGUGCUUGCAUCUCUUGAGAGCGGCGGACGGGUGAGUAAUGCCUAGGAAUCUGCCUAGUGGUGGGGGGAUAACGUUCGGAAACGGACGCUAAUACCGCAUACGUCCUACGGGAGAAAGCGGGGGAUCUUCGGACCUCGCGCCAUUAGAUGAGCCUAGGUCGGAUUAGCUAGUUGGUGAGGUAAUGGCUCACCAAGGCGACGAUCCGUAACUGGUCUGAGAGGAUGAUCAGUCACACUGGAACUGAGACACGGUCCAGACUCCUACGGGAGGCAGCAGUGGGGAAUUUUGGACAAUGGGCGCAAGCCUGAUCCAGCAAUGCCGCGUGCAGGAUGAAGGCCUUCGGGUUGUAAACUGCUUUUGUACGGAACGAAACGGUGAGCUCUAAUACAGUUUGCUAAUGACGGUACCGUAAGAAUAAGCACCGGCUAACUACGUG
rnacentral:rRNA from 1 species